rfam:Gossypium hirsutum cultivar TM-1 unplaced genomic scaffold scaffold2916.1, whole genome shotgun sequence
UAUUAAAAAUUUUGUCUAUUUCUACUUUUAAAAACUAGUGUGAUUGGUAAAAUAAUCCAAAAUUUACACAUGGCGUUCCAUAUGUUCCUUAUUUUAAUAUACAAGAAUCAGUUUUUAACAGUAUAAAUGAAUGGAGUUUUAAACA